rnacentral:lncRNA from 1 species
AUAGUUUAGAUACCCUAUUCGUACGAAAAGAGAAACAAUGCGAUAUCUAAAAUAUUCACCGCAUCCGUAAUAGGCUGCGUACCAAUUUAAUGCGCAUAUACAAACAUUCUCCCCUAAUCAAGUAGUUUUGAUAUUUUGAUACCGGUGUGUGUGUUUAUACUCUUUUUGUAUUAAAAAAUAUCGUCAUUUUCAUAUAUUGACUUUCUAAUUAUAAAAUAUAAACGAUGGAUAAUUCUACCACAUGAAGUACAAAAAAAGCCUUUAAUACAAAGUUUCAGCAACACUAUUUACGUCAUAAAAUGUUAUUUCAACACGCGCAAAUGUUGGUUCUGAAGUCUCUAUGACAUAGAGCUUAUUAUCGGAAUAUUUAUAUGAAUGUUUUGAAAACAUUACAUUCGAAAUAGAUAAGGAACUAAAGAAAAAUUACAGAAAGAAACAUUGCCUAAAGGCUUUUUAUGUCAGAUAUAUUACAUACUAAAUAUCAUACUUAUGAUAUUUCAAAUAAGUUUUAAUACUCUUAUAUGUUUAACUCAAAUGAAAACUAAGAAAAUAAUAAAAUAAAAAAUGUGAAA